GACGAACGCUGGCGGCGUGCUUAACACAUGCAAGUCGAACGGUGAAGCGCCUUCCUUUUUGGUGGGUGUGGAUGAGUGGCGAACGGGUGAGUAACACGUGAGUAACCUGCCCCCUUCUUCUGGAUAACCGCAUGAAAGUGUGGCUAAUACGGGAUAUUCUGGGUCUGUCGCAUGAUGGGUCUGGGAAAGAUAUUGUUUCGGUGGGGGAUGGGCUCGCGGCCUAUCAGCUUGUUGGUGGGGUGAUGGCCUACCAAGGCGGUGACGGGUAGCCGGCCUGAGAGGGUGGACGGUCACACUGGGACUGAGACACGGCCCAGACUCCUACGGGAGGCAGCAGUGGGGAAUAUUGCACAAUGGGCGCAAGCAUGAUGCAGCGACGCCGCGUGAGGGAUGGAGGCCUGCGGGUUGUGAACCUCUUUCGCCAGUGAAGCAGGCCUGCCUCGUUUGUGGGUGGGUUGACGGUAGCUGGAUAAGAAGCGCCGGCUAACUACGUG
rnacentral:rRNA from 1 species